CUUCUUCGAAAAUAUGUAUGGCUUAGACGGUUUUUCGCAAAAAACUCCGGAGUCAUUUAUUUUAUGUAGAAAUGAUAUGAAGCGGAAACAAACCAAAUUGAAUAGCAAAGAAUAUGAAUCUUUUCAUUUUUCUGAUCGCGUUGGUCAACGCUAUGCUGAUAUAGUGGAAAUUUUUAGAUUAAUUUAGUUAGUGGAAAUCGGUGGGAUAAAUAAUAAAGGAGCUAGGAUCAAAAUAAUGCAAUUAUCUGAUUUUUUAUGUAAAAAUCAAUAAAGUCAAAACUUAUUUUUUCAUAUAAAUUAAAAGUAAGACGAAUGAGAACCUACUGUAUUUGAGCCCACGCAAAAAAUUCUGAAAGUUUGGUGAAUUUAAAGUGCAUGGUUUCGGAAAAAAAUUGUUUUCUCCAAUUUUUUUAUAUUUAAAACUAAAAUCAUUUUGUUUCGAAUAUCUCAAAAAUAAAAAAUAUAGUGAAAAAAUCCUAAAGUACAAAAGUGUGACCUUUCUCUCGGUAAAUGAUUAAGGAAGCAGUUUCCACUAUCGUCUUUAUUUUUUGAAUUAUUAAAAAACAAAAAAUC